GAUGAACGCUGGCGGCGUGCCUAAUACAUGCAAGUCGAGCGAACGGACGAGAAGCUUGCUUCUCUGAUGUUAGCGGCGGACGGGUGAGUAACACGUGGAUAACCUACCUAUAAGACUGGGAUAACUUCGGGAAACCGGAGCUAAUACCGGAUAAUAUUUUGAACCGCAUGGUUCAAAGGUGAAAGACGGUCUUGCUGUCACUUAUAGAUGGAUCCGCGCUGCAUUAGAUAGUUGGUAAGGUAACGGCUUACCAAGGCAACGAUGCAUAGCCGACCUGAGAGGGUGAUCGGCAACACUGGAACUGAGACACGGACCAGACUCCUACGGGAGGCAGCAGUAGGGAAUCUUCCGCAAUGGGCGAAAGCCUGACGGAGCAACGCCGCGUGAGUGAUGAAGGUCUUCGGAUCGUAAAACUCUGUUAUUAGGGAAGAACAUAUGUGUAAGUAACUGUGCACAUCUUGACGGUAACUAAUCAGAAAGCCACGGCUAACUACGUG
rnacentral:rRNA from 1 species